GUGUCAGUGGCGUAGUGGUUAGCGCACGAGCCUCGGUUAGGCGCCAGACGCGGGUUCGAAUCCCGCCCGAAGUG
rnacentral:tRNA from 1 species